GGAACAUCUCAUUCUUAAAUUUUUCAAGGGGAAAAUAUAAAGGUAGCAAAAUUAUUGUCGUGGCUAAAUAACUCUUAACUGACACAAUUUCAAUUGUCCAACCCAUUAACAGACUUUAUUCCCAUAAUUUUCACUAAAACGUGGUAUUAUUCACGUUAUUUUACAAUUAUGAAAUAUUUACUAAUGUCAAUUUAUUUUUUAGAACCACAGUACUAUUUUUUGUCCUUUAAAUGAUAUCUUAAUUUGUUUGUUUCGCCUUUUAUUAAAAAAA
rnacentral:lncRNA from 1 species